rnacentral:rRNA from 1 species
GACAGAGGCCCCGAGCGUUAAUCGGAAUUACUGGGCUUAAAGGGUGCGUAGGCUGAUCCGCAAGUGCUCCGUGAAAUCCCCCGGCUCAACCGGGGAACAGCGAGGCAUACUGCGGAUCUUGAGGCAGGUAGGCGCCGAGGGAACAGUAGGUGGAGCGGUGAAAUGCGUAGAUAUCUACUGGAACGCCGAUGGUGAAGACGCUCGGCUGGGCCUGUCCUGACGCUGAGGCACGAAAGCGUGGGGAGCAAACAGG